rnacentral:rRNA from 1 species
UGCCUUACACAAGGGGAUAGCCGUUGGAAACGACGAAUAAUACCCUAUGAAACUAUCACUUCGCAUGAAGCGAUAGUCAAAGUGUUAGCGGUGUAAGAUGGACUUGCGUCUGAUUAGCUAGUUGGUGAGAAAAAGCCACCAAGGCAACGAUCAGUAGCCGGCUUGAGAGAGUGUACGGCCACAUUGGGACUGAGACACGGCCCAG